rnacentral:rRNA from 1 species
AAAUUGAAGAGUUUGAUCAUGGCUCAGAUUGAACGCUGGCGGCAGGCCUAACACAUGCAAGUCGAACGGUAACAGGAAGAAGCUUGCUUCUUUGCUGACGAGUGGCGGACGGGUGAGUAAUGUCUGGGAAACUGCCUGAUGGAGGGGGAUAACUACUGGAAACGGUAGCUAAUACCGCAUAACGUCGCAAGACCAAAGAGGGGGACCUUCGGGCCUCUUGCCAUCGGAUGUGCCCAGAUGGGAUUAGCUUGUUGGUGGGG